UACGGAGGAUGCGAGCGUUAUCCGGAUUUACUGGGUGUAAGGGGAGCGUAGGCGGCGCGUUAAGUCUGAUGUGAAAACCCGAGGCUCAACCACGGGAGUGCAUUGGAAACUGGCGGGCUGGAGUGCCGGAGAGGUAAGCGGAAUUCCUAGUGUAGCGGUGAAAUGCGUAGAUAUUAGGAGGAACACCAGUGGCGAAGGCGGCUUACUGGACGGCAACUGACGCUGAGGCUCGAAAGCGUGGGGAGCAAACAGG
rnacentral:rRNA from 1 species